GCCCGCUUGGCACAGCGGUAAUGCGCCUCACUAGUAUCAGAAGAUUCUACUGGGAACUGCAAUGAGGAGAUGACUGGUUCGACUCCAGUAGUGGGCA
rnacentral:tRNA from 1 species